AAUCACUUGAACUAUUUUACUUAAUUUCAUGUGUUUAUAUUAUGUAUUUACUGAGAGUUAAAAAUCAAACUUUUUUGAGGCUGAAGUUAAUCAUUUACAUUUGUGCAGUAUUUUAAGGUUUGUAAAGCAUUAUACAAACUAUUUUCUUUUUAGAUGAAAAAUAUUGUUUAACUGUCAUCUGCUAUAUAGGAGCUCAUUAAUUCCCUAAACAUUAUAGGAGAUAAGACAUAAAUAUUAUUUUGUCUGUUUUGAAAAUAAAUACAAGGAUAACACACUUAACCUGCUCAAGUUACCCAUUCAUCUAGUAGAAGAGGCUCAACAAUUAGCUUUAAAGUAUAUUUUCAGUGUAUUCAGUAUAUAUCUUUCCAAUCAGUGAUUUUUAAUAUGUAUGACAAUCAACUAGACAUAUUUAAAAUGUAAUGUUUCAAAAGCAAGAAAUUGUAAGAAACCAGAGCCUCUAUGCUGUGGAUUAAAAUAGUCACUUUGGUUGACUU
rnacentral:lncRNA from 1 species